rnacentral:rRNA from 1 species
GGGUCAGUAGGUUGGUCGUGCCACCGGUACGUACUGGUCUCACUGAUUCCUCCUUCCUGAAGAACCGUAAUGCCAUUAAUUUGGUGUUGCGGGGAAACAGGACUGUUACUUUGAAAAAAUUAGAGUGUUUAAAGCAAGCUAACGCUUGAAUACAUUAGCAUGGAAUAAUGAAAUAGGACGAUCGAUCCUAUUUUUUUGGUUUCUAGGAUUGACGUA